rnacentral:lncRNA from 1 species
CGGCCGCCUCCAAAAGGGGCGGAGCUCGGCGGCGGCGCGCGCAGCUCCUAGAGCCCGCGGUUGGUCGGUUCUACUUUCCCUCCGCCUCCUUUAAAAGAGUUUUGUUAUGUUGCUAAAAUCAUGGUGAAAUGUUGCUCGGCCAUUGGAUGUGCUUCUCGCUGUUUGCCAAAUUCCAAGUUAAAAGGACUGACAUUUCAUGUAUUCCCCACAGAUGAAAACAUCAAAAGAAAAUGGGUGUUAGCCAUGAAAAGACUAGAUGUGAAUACUGCAGGCAUUUGGGAGCCAUCUCUCCAGCCUGAGAGUUUUUAUUUUAUUUUUAUGGAGAAUCUCUUCUUCAUCCUCCCACCCCAACUAUCACAUGCCGUUUAAUUUAUUUUGGAUAUAAUUAUUUCACUCAUCCAAUCUUAUAAAACAUAAACGCUGCUCAAAAUGUGGCU